ACAGGACAUUAGUGCUCCAGCCCAGAGUGACUCAUUGCCUUCUGGUCACAGCUCAUGACCAGAAAUGACUGAUAGCAACUAUCCUUGGGACACUCAAGAGGAGAAAAUGGAAACUUAUUGCAGAGGUUACACUCAAUGGCAAGAAACUCAACUUCAUGAGAAGCCGUCUCAGCCUUCAAGAUCUGCACAUUCUGGCCAAGACAAAGAACAUCACAGGUCUCAUGAAAGGGUCACUCGGCUUCCAAAGGGGUUGCAACUCACAGGUUGAGAACCACUGACAUGAAGUGAUGGUGCAUCAAGAAUGCGCAUCCAGAGAAACCGAGGAAUGAGAAAACAUCAGGCUGCAUACACAACGGGGGAAGGCCAAGAAGGGCCGGGAUUUCAGGCAAACUCACACAUAUAGCUUCCGCCUGAACACUCAGGAUUAGAGACUUCAUCUAAGGCUUUCCUGACCAGAGGCAAAGAGCUGCACUGCUGGAUCCUGGAACUCCUCCUCUGUCAACAUAAGCAACUAAAUAACCAGAGCCAUGUACAUGGAUUAUUCAGGUGACUCAAGGAGCCAAAGGCUGGUGUCCAAAGAAGCUUCUCAGGACUUCCAGAGUAGAAUCAACCAGAUGCUGGAGGAAUACAAAUGGGGACUCCAGGGAAUCUGAGGACAGAGACAACCAUUAGAAUUUCAGUUUAUGCCAUGUAUCUUUCAAACCCACCCACGCUAAGUUCAUGUUCUACUGAACUCCAAGAUGGUUGUCAGUCACUAUUUCUGGAAGGAUUAACACUUGUUAAGGUGACUGUCCAUCUAUGAUUUGGUGGGUGUGGCAACAACUAGCUCAUGAUGAGCAACUCUGAUAACCAUGUAAUAGCUCAGUCAGUCAGUGUCCAUAGGACCUUGACUAACCAAACACUUCCCCAUGGUUAUUUGUUGAAGACAGCAUGUCUCUGAUCCAUGGCUUUGUAGAUGAUGAUAUGACCAUCUUUUUCAGGCCAGUCAGAGGCGUCAUAUGGCUUUCAUGUCUACUGAAUAUUUUGUAUAAUUUGUGUUUAAUGUAUACUUCUUUAGCAUGGGCCAUGAAGAGCUACAUGGCUGAAGUACGAGGCUACUGAUGUUUUGCCUGGAUCUUAAUAGAGGGUCUCUUUUUCUCUCAAUUCAUUCAAAACUGUGAGACUUGUAAGGUACUUACAAAUUGAUUAAUAGACUAUUUUUAAAUGUGGCUCAUGCUGUCUUCAAAACCUUAACAAUGCUAAUAUAUUUUAAUUUAAAGAAAAAGGUCUGGUGAAAUGGCUCAUGGGAUAAAGCUGCUUGCAACCAAGAGUGACGACUUGAGUUUAAUCCCCAGAAGAGAAUUGACUCCUGCAAGUUGUCCUCUGGUCUCCACACAUAUACACAUGCUAUAGCAAUAC